rnacentral:rRNA from 1 species
AACGAACGCUGGCGGCAGGCCUAACACAUGCAAGUCGAACGGUAACAGGAAGACUCUUGCCUCUUUGCUGAUUAGUGGCGGACGAGUGACUCAUGUCUGGGAAACUUCUUGAUGGAGGGGGAUAACUUCUGGAAACGGUUCCUAAUACCGCAUAAUGUCGCAAGUCUAAAGUGGGGGACCUUGGUGCCUUUUGCUAUCGGAUGUGCCCAGAUGGGAUUAGCUAGCAGGUGGGGUAACGGCUCACCUAGGCGACGAUCACUAGCUGGUCUGAGGGGAUGACCAGCCAGACGGGAAGUGAGAAACGGUCCAGACUCCUACGGGGGGCAACGGUGGGGAAUCUUGCACAAGGGGGGAAGGCCUAAUGCAGGAAUGCGGGGGGUAGGAAGAAGGAGUUCGGGUGGUAAAGUACUUUGGGCGGGGAGGAAGGGAGUAAAGUUGAUACCUUAACACAUUGACGGUACCGGAAGAAGAAGCGCCGGCUAACUCCGUG